rnacentral:rRNA from 1 species
UACGUAGGGUGCAAGCGUUAAUCGGAAUUACUGGGCGUAAAGCGUGCGCAGGCGGUGAUGUAAGACAGGUGUGAAAUCCCCGGGCUUAACCUGGGAACUGCAUUUGUGACUGCAUCGCUGGAGUGCGGCAGAGGGGGAUGGAAUUCCGCGUGUAGCAGUGAAAUGCGUAGAUAUGCGGAGGAACACCGAUGGCGAAGGCAAUCCCCUGGACCUGUACUGACGCUCAUGCACGAAAGCGUGGGGAGCAAACAGG